AUACGGAAGGUCCGGGCGUUAUCCGGAUUUAUUGGGUUUAAAGGGAGCGCAGGCGGAGAUGCAAGCGUGACGUCAAAUUUCUGGGCUAAACCCCGUCUCGCGUCGCGAACUGCGUCACUUGGUUGCGGGAAGGGGAGGCGGAACUCGUGGUGUAGCGGUGAAAUGCAUAGAUAUCACGAAGAAAUCCGAUUGCGAAGGCAUCUGACGAACUGCCCACGGAAGCUGAGGCACGAAAGCGUGGGGAGCAAACAGGAUUAGAUCCCCUUGUAGUCGCCGCAGUAAACGAUGAUGACUAACUGGCGGCCCGUUGCGGGUCGGUGGCCAAGCGAAAGCGAUAAGUCAUCCGCCUGGGGAGUACGACCGCAAGGUUGAAACUCAAAGGAAUUGGCGGGG
rnacentral:rRNA from 1 species